CUAAAACUGUGAAAGAAACUGAAUCCACAUCAUUUACAAAGGAGCACAAACUAGACUGGCACCAAGCUUCUCAUUGGAGGACUGAGGCUAACAGACAGUAAAAUUAAAAGGUGGGAAGGAACAAGGGGCUGUCGCUCUUGGGUGAACCUGGAAUUUCUCCAUGUGCUUGCCAGAACCCCAGAAUGAAAUUGGAAUGCAGUGGCUAACAACAACAUUGCUGGCUUUGCCCUCCCUGGCCCUGAGCUCUGCACUGGCCAUGGCUCUGCUUUCCCAGGUUCCCACUCUCCACCCACCAUCACACAUCUGAAAGUGAGCAGUCCAACAGCAGAAGAAACUAGGGGGACCUUAUAUUCCAGGAGACAUUAUAAAAAGCAAACCUACUCAUAUUUUAAAAGACGGAUUGAUUCCUGCCCUCUCUGUCCAAGUUGAGACUAGUAGAGGAUUCAUCAAUGAGCAGGCAGGUGAGGGAGGAGCUCCUGUCAUGUCAGUUUCCCUGAAGUUGCUCCUGGUCAGGCAGAAAUGGCCCAGCUGGAAUCGCUCAGCACACACGUACCCUGCCACAUGCACAUGUCAGUGCAGUGUAACAGAACAGUUUGCCUCUCACAAGAGAACCUAAAAUGCGAGUUACCAGCAUUUCCAGCCUCCUUGCUGCUGGAGAUGGUGAUGUGAUACAGUUCUGGGAUGGCUUUGUGGCAGAGUCCUGGAAUGGCAACAUGACACAGCUGGGGGGGCAACAUGACCAUCCCGCUGUGGCAAUGUGAUGACGUGCCACAUUUCUGGAAUGGCCAUGUAACAAAGUUCUUGGGUGGUGAAGUGCCACAUUUCUAGCGUGUUCUGGGUGACCAUGGGAUACAUAGUAUUUGGGUGGCCAUAGGACACAGUCCUAGGAUGGCAGUGUGACCCAGUUCUGGGGUGGUGAUGGGACAGUGCAAAAUGUUUGUGGUCAAUAAAGCCUAAAGGAUGUCUGCUGGAGAGUUUCUAGGAAAGAUUCUUCCUCUAUAUAAGAAGGGCUAUGGGAAAAGAACAUUCUCGCCCCUGGGACUUCCCCUUUCUCUUCUCACAUGGAACUGAUUUACAUGAACCCAUGGUCUUGGGGCUGCUGCAACAGCCAUCAUGCUGUGGUGAUGGUAGGCAUUUCACCCAUUAAGGAUGGCAAACAAAUAAAAAGUACCCGGAACCUUGAUGGCAUUUGGAGUAGGUGUAACAACCUUUGACCUGAUGACCCCUAAAUUUCUUCUUAAGUGAGA